rnacentral:rRNA from 1 species
UGAUACCCUGGUAGUCCACGCUGUAAACGAUGUCGACUUGGAGGUUGUGCCCUUGAGGCGUGGCUUCCGGAGCUAACGCGUUAAGUCGACCGCCUGGGGAGUACGGCCGCAAGGUUAAAACUCAAAUGAAUUGACGGGGGCCCGCACAAGCGGUGGAGCAUGUGGUUUAAUUCGAUGCAACGCGAAGAACCUUACCUACUCUUGACAUCCACGGAAUUCGCCAGAGAUGGCUUAGUGCCUUCGGGAACCGUGAGACAGGUGCUGCAUGGCUGUCGUCAGCUCGUGUUGUGAAAUGUUGGGUUAAGUCCCGCAACGAGCGCAACCCUUAUCCUUUGUUGCCAGCACGUAAUGGUGGGAACUCAAAGGAGACUGCCGGUGAUAAACCGGAGGAAGGUGGGGAUGACGUCAAGUCAUCAUGGCCCUUACGAGUAGGGCUACACACGUGCUACAAUGGCAUAUACAAAGAGAAGCGAACUCGCGAGAGCAAGCGGACCUCAUAAAGUAUGUCGUAGUCCGGAUUGGAGUCUGCAACUCGACUCCAUGAAGUCGGAAUCGCUAGUAAUCGUAGAUCAGAAUGCUACGGUGAAUACGUUCCCGGGCCUUGUACACACCGCCCGUCACACCAUGGGAGUGGGUUGCAAAAGAAGUAGGUAGCUUAACC